rnacentral:rRNA from 1 species
UAUGAACGCUGGCGGCGUGCCUAAUACAUGCAAGUCGAGCGAACGGACGAGAAACUUGCUUCUCUGAUGUUAGCGGCGGACGGGUGAGUAACACGUGGAUAACCUACCUAUAAGACUGGGAUAACUUCGGGAAACCGGAGCUAAUACCGGAUGAUAUUUUGAACCGCAUGGUUCAAAAGUGAAAGACGGUCUUGCUGUCACUUAUAGAUGGAUCCGCGCUGCAUUAGCUAGUUGGUAAGGUAACGGCUUACCAAGGCAACGAUGCAUAGCCGACCUGAGAGGGUGAUCGGCCACACUGGAACUGAGACACGGUCCAGACUCCUACGGGAGGCAGCAGUAGGGAAUCUUCCGCAAUUGGCGAAAGCCUGACGGAGCAACGCCGCGUGAGUGAUGAAGGUCUUCGGAUCGUAAAACUCUGUUAUUAGGGAAGAACAUAUGUGUAAGUAACUGUGCACAUCUUGACGGUACCUAAUCAGAAAGCCACGGCUAACUACGUG